GCAGCAUACAGUAGGGAAGUAAAGGCACUUCCUCCUUCCUACCAACCACACUGGUUGCGCCCAAACCAGUUUAAUAGGAAGUCGGAUACUCGUGUCAAUGGAGAUCCAGCAGCUUGUCAUGAGUUGUUUCAACUAACUUCUUUGCGUUUCUUCCUACAGCCAAAUGUUACCGAGUUCAAUCAGUAAAACCAUCCAGUUGUAGUGCGUAAAAGUGGUCGGAGCGCAGCCCUUUCAGCCACAAUGGCUGCGACGUAGCGCAACUUUUAGAUCCACGGUGGAUGAACGACAGCGCUCCGAGGUGCCGCUAACUUUUACACACUUGCAGGAGACACAGAGGAGGAAAAAACAUGAAGAAACAGUUUAAUCGUAUGAAGCAACUUGCCAACCAGACAGUUGGAAGGGCUGAGAAAACUGAGGUGCUAAAGGAUGACCUCCUACAGAUCGAGAGGCGGUUGGAGUUGGUGCGUUUGGUGUCGCACAACACACACAAGAGGCUGGUGUCCUGUCUGCAGGGUCAGCUGGGCACAGACACAGAGAAGAGACAUAAAAAGCUUCCCCUGACGAUGCUGUCCCAGGCCAUGCAGGAGGGAGGCAGUCAGCUGGGAGAUGAGAGUCUGAUUGGCAAGAUGAUGGAUGUGUGUGGGGAGGCUGAAAGCAGACUAGCGGCUGAACUGAUGCACUAUGAAGUCCAGAUUGAGAGAGACAUCAUGGAUCCUCUCAACCAGCUGGCUGAGGUCGAGAUUCCCAAUAUACUAAAACAGCGAAAACAACUCGCCAAACUGGUUCUGGACUAUGACUCGGCCAAGACGAGGUGGUACCAGGCAACAAAGUCCAACAACCAGGCUAUGGCAGCUAAGACUGAUUCGCUCAAAGACGAGAUGGACGAGGCUCUCAACAAAGUAGAAAUAUGCAAGGACCAGCUCGCUGCAGAUUUGUACAACUUUGGUUCCAAAGAGGGAGAUCAUGCACGCUAUUUUGUCAUGUUAUUAGAGGCGCAGGCAGACUACCACAGGAGGUCUUUGGCAGCUCUGGAGGCAGCUAUACCGACUAUCCAAUUACAGCAAGACUGCUGGAUGGAGAAGCCGGCAUUCGGCAUGGCUCUGGAGGAGCACCUGAAGAGGAGUAACCGUGAGAUCGCUCUGCCUUUGGAGGCCUGCGUCAUGAUGCUGCUGGAGACCGGCAUGAAGGAGGAGGGACUCUUCAGAAUAGCUGCCGGAGCUUCCAAACUGAAGAAGCUCAAAGCGGCGCUGGACUGCUCCACCUCGCAGCUUGAGGAGUUCUACUCUGAUCCCCACGCCGUCGCCGGAGCCCUGAAAUCCUACCUCAGGGAACUUCCUGAACCUCUAAUGACUUUUGGCCUGUACGAUGAGUGGACACAGGCCUCCAAUGUGUCUGACCCUGACAAGAGGCUUCAGGCCUUGUGGGUGACAUGUGACCAUUUGCCAAAGACUCACAAAGCAAACCUCAGGUAUCUGGUGAAAUUUCUGGCUAAACUGGCUCAGAACAGUGAGGUUAAUAAGAUGACUCCCAGCAACAUCGCCAUAGUCCUUGGGCCCAACCUGCUAUGGGCAAAGACUGAGGGGACGCUGGCAGAGAUGGCAGCAGCCACAUCUGUCCAUGUGGUUGCCAUCAUUGAGCCCAUUAUCCAGCAUGCUGAUUGGUUCUUCCCUGAAGAGGUGGACUUCAAUGUGUCGGGCAUGUUUGCCAUGCCCACCCACUCAGCCACGCCAGACCCCGAUCCCGUCCUGGAUAGGAAACGCCCAGGCAGCCUAGUGGGGCAGGACGGGGACAGUCACACCCCCCGUAAAGACAGCACUGUUAACAAACAGCCGGAGCCCACUCCACGUAGAACCAACACUGUAAAUAGAAAGCAGCCACAGCUAACCUCACCCACCUUCCAACCCCCAUUGCCCCCUCUGGAAGCCGGGGGUCCUGCCCAGCCUGAGCCCCUGCCCCAGCUCCCGUCCCCGGCUACAGAGGCUGAGCAGCCUGGCUUGAGGGGUGCUAGUAGUGGUGUUGGUGGUGGUCUGGGUGGUGGGGUCCAGGUAGCCACAGUGCAACCUCAGGUUGUAACCCAGCUCAGCGCAGAGGAGAGCAGCCCAGCCCGUGAGCUCAUGUCCACCCCUCCUCCCCAGAGGAAUGGUUCAGUCCAGCUUACAGUAGGAACCCCCCACUCUCAGGGUGGAUCCAGGGGGCCUAGUCCACACAUGGUUCGCAGAGGCACAAAGAAGCAGGCCCCAGCCCCGCCCAAACAGUCCAGCGCCUUUGCCUCCCAGCCCAGCAACACCCAGAUAUCCGGCUCCACUCAUCACCCACCCAUCACCCCCAGACGCCAACUCGGCAAAGACAGCCCAAUCCAUGCCCCGAGCCACCCGCCCCCACAGCCUCCUCAAGCCCAUCAGGCCCAGGGGGAGUCAGAGCCUUCUCCCCCCAGAACUCCCACUCCUCCUGACACUCCGCCUCAUGAUGGAUCGCACUCCAUCCCGCUGUCUUUCUACCACUCUGGAUCUCUCCCUCGCCCCUCCAGACCGGCACCCAGGCCACGGCCCCGACCCAGUAUGCCACCGCCCCCACAACCUGCAGUCAAUGCCAAUGACGACGGUAAUGGCAUCUGCGGCUCCGCCUCCAAGAUAAUAACAGGCAUUGCAACGACUGGAAUCACUUGCUGAUCGUCUGCUAAUACUUUAUUCAGUAUUGAGUAAUUUCAGCUUCCUCUCUAUUUAUCUUUCUGGCUUUUGGUUUCACUUUGUCAUAGUGCCUCACACACUAAAUGUAACUGUGGUGAUCUGACGCAUGACAGGAAAUGUGUAAAUAUUACAGAUGUCUGAGCUGCUGGUCUGCCUGUAAGAUGAGCUUUGCAAGGCAGGUAAUGACGGAGGUCUAUUCCUAAAGGGGAUUGGACGAGCCCUCAUCCCUGAGGUGAUUGCGGACCAACAAGGGGAGAGCUCUGGUGGUCAAGAGCCCGCCACCACCCCAGCCCAGCAACUAAACCCUCAGAUCCAGACAGAGUUCACCGCUCUGUGAAGAAAAAGAGGGAUCGCUCUCAUCAAAAUCUUCCUUCACACAGCUGGUUCAUGUAACAGAUUUGAAUGUUUAGAAUCAAAAAUCGAUAACUCAAACUUCCGAUUCGCUCCAGCUCGUCACGCUCCACUCACAGUAUGCCAGAGUGCUUUCUGGAGAAAAAAAUGUCUGCCUUUUCUUCUGUUUUGCUGAGAGUCAAACCAGAGACCUCCAAAACCACAAAACUCAUAAGAUUGGACUGCAGAGCCUGGCUAGCCUCAGCGCUUAUUGGACUUAAUCUGAAUAUACUGUAUAGCAGCUCAACUCAACGGGUGCUAAGCUUUCACUUGUCUCCUUUUUUUUUUUUAAAUCUUGCUGUCAAUACUAUAGAUUCAGUGCUAUGAAUGUUUUUGGAGACAGAAAUCUGUGAAUCUGGUUUUAGCACCACAUAGACCCGACAACUAGUAUUUGUUUUAUUCAGCAGAGUUGUGUGGAGAUAUUUGAGUGUUAGCCAGCCACUGCUGAUCUAUUUAGCAUUUUCCAAUUCAUCAGUUUCAACUGGCUUUUUUAGAAGGGCUUUUCAAUAAUUGUCACACACUUCAGCACCGCACUAAACAUACUAGUGUAAAGGACCAAAGAAAUGGAAAUGGGCCAAAGGAAAUUAAAUAAAGAUUUAGAGCUGCUCGGCUUCAAUUAUGGUUGUAAACGACCAAAUAUUUUGUGCAAUACAAAAUGCAGUUGUUCAGUGGUGUCCUCUCCACAGUACAUAUGCUGUAUUUUGGGUAUUUCAGGUGGUUUUCCUUCUAGUAAUCCAGUGGGGUAGAGUUUUAUUUUGUUUUCUAUCUGAAAUUUGAUUCCAGCUGACCUGAUUUAUCAUGCUCAAAAUGACUUAGAUGCUCAAAGAUUAGCUUUUAUCAUUUAAAGGGAUUUUUUUCUAACAGAUUGAUUGUGAUAAAUGCAUUUUCAAUACAUAGCUUGUAACUGAUCACUCCCCUCAAAGCUAUGACCAAAUACAGCCAAAUUCUUCUUUGUGUAUAAUUCUUACUACAACUGACAAUCUUUAGCUUGUUGGGGGGUGUUUUUCAGCUCUUUGUUUCUUUUUUUUUUAAUUUCUUCUCAGCAUUUGUAUGUUGGCUUUUCUGCACGUAAUGCAUCAUACAAUGCAUCAUUACACUUGAUAAUUAAAGAUCGUUCAACAUUGUA